rnacentral:rRNA from 1 species
UACGAAGGGGGCUAGCGUUGUUCGGAAUUACUGGGCGUAAAGCGCGUGUAGGCGGAUCUUUAAGUCAGGGGUGAAAUGCCAAGGCUCAACCUUGGAACUGCCUUUGAUACUGGCGAGCUUGAGUCCGGGAGAGGUGAGUGGAACUGCGAGUGUAGAGGUGAAAUUCGUAGAUAUUCGCAAGAACACCAGUGGCGAAGGCGGCUCACUGGCCCGGUACUGACGCUGAGGUGCGAAAGCGUGGGGAGCAAACAGG